rnacentral:lncRNA from 1 species
CUUGUACUCACUUUGAACCUCAACAACAACAACUUGUUCAAUAAAUUCCCUUCGAAAAUUGCUCUUCCAAAGAGUGAAUAUCUUUGAUCCUCCCAAAGUUCUAAAAAUCACUAACACACCUUAUUUUCCACCUUCAACAUCACCAUCUCAUGAAAACCUUCUCAUUUACUACCAAAAACAGAAUGGCUAUAUACUAAGAAAAAGAAGAAGAAAAAGCAGUAGCCUUCCAUCACCAUCAAAGGCAUAUACUUUUACUGGUGCACUAGGAGAUGACGCACAAGAGAAGGCUGAAGACGCUAAAAAAUGGAAGACCUUCAUGACGAGGCAGGGAACACAACGCCGUUCAAAGAAUGCUAUGAUCUUCGAGGCUGUGUGACAAGAUUCUAGAGCUUCCUUGGGCAUGGGUGGAAUCGGUAAAUAGGUAAUUUCCAAAGCAAACCGACAAUGGAAAUUCUUUGAUCACGUUGUUUAGGCAGGAUUGGCAGUUGUUAAAACUUAAAAGGCAAAUCUAAUGUGCAUUCAUUUGGAGAAUAUUGCAUCAAUCUGGAGAAUUUCAACAACCUCGCCGGUCCAAUUCCUUCAAGCUUAAGCAAUGGCAUCAAUCUUGACCAAUCUAUACCUACACUGGCAAGCAAUACCUCUGCGGCCGCCCCUUACAAUGUACAUCUAAGAAAUUUUAUCUAAGAGAUACUUCUUACAUAAACCAAAAUCAGAACCAUCUUCCUUCAAAGCGAAAGGAGUCUGUUGUAAGUUUGUUAUUCAUUUAGAAUAACGAGGUUCGAGAAAGAUAAAGGAGUUUGUUAUUCAUUUUUAGGAUUAUGCCUCCAAAAAUUAUAGUUAAAGUCGAAAGUAGCAUAUCUCGACUUCAACCAUCAAAAUUAAUUAAGCUUAACUUUUUUUGCCUAACAAUUGUAAAUAUUCCUCUUUAUGCUGAAAAAUUCGCAUGUUUCUCUAUUUUCAUAUAAACCACACAAGUGAGAGCCAAAUAAUGUUAAGUGUAGUUUAUCCUUCCGACAACCCCGUUCAAAGCACAUCGAGAUGGAUAUUCUUUUUGUGCGUGAGAAAGUUGCUUGUGUUGAGGACCGAGUAUUACAUGUUCCUUCUUAUUACCAAAUUGUUGACAUCUUCACGAAGGAACUUCCACUGCAACUCUUUCACGAUUUUCUGAGAUAGUCUCCAGUCUCCACAUAUGUCCACCUACUAUUUCAAUUAGGAGGGUGUAUUAACAUAGCAAAUAUCUUUUGUAUAUAUCUUUUGCAACUUGGUUGAAUUAUUUUGGUACAAUCUGCUCGUGCAAAGAAUUAUGUAUGAUUUGCCAUUGAUCCGGUUCUUUUGCUCUAUUUUUGAAAAUCUAUAUAAUCUUAUGCCAAGUAAGUUUGCUCCGGUAGAUUUUAAAUUUUUGAAAAAAUAGCAUUUUUAUCCACUUUUAUUCACCGGAAUUUGAUUUAAGUAGAUUUAAUAUGGUGACAAAUCCACUUUAAAUUAAGGAAAUCAUAUUGAUGAUUAGUAAAAUGUAACUAAAGCACUUUAGUAACAAGUGCUUUACCUAACAAUUGUACAAAUGUUACUAAAUUUAAUCAGUAACAUUUUUCAUGAUUUAGUAACAAUUUUUAAGUGUUACUGGAUGUUAAUUAUGCUGCAGUGAUUGUUAUUUCUUCCUCAUGGCUAAAAGUUUUAUUGUCCAAGUCUAUCAUAGGUAAAUAUAAAUAAAUUAUUUUGUGCAAAUCCACUUUGUAAAUAUAAACAAAUUAUUGUGGAAAUCAUCAUACAAAUAUAAAUGAAGUCUAUCUUGAUCAUGUGUAAAAGUUUUAUCAAACAACAAUAAAAUAAUUUUUACGGGACAAAGUACAGGUUAGAUUCCUCCCAAAAAAAAUAACAGAAAAAGUAGAGGUUAUAUAUAUUUAGUGCAAAAGAGACUUCCUAUGUGGUAAACUUACAUUUAAAUUUCUGUCUGAAGAGGUAAUCAAAUUUAGUGCUCGACACAUUUACAUAAAAAUAUUAUAGAGCAAUAUAAAAAAUAUCUAUAUAAUUAAAGGGAUUAUCAUGUAUGUCACCCUUCACUCUUCAUUUGACUUAUACAUCCCAAAUUAGUUGGUUAUUCUGAAAAGGUAGAAUUGAUUCAAAGCAUUGUUUGAUUUGUUUCUUGCUAUAUAUCCAGAUUUCAUACGUUAUAGCGGCUAUAAUAUUUAGGGUUUCAUUUCUAAGAUUUUCUAGACUAUUAAUCAUCCAAUCAAUAAAGGAUAUAUUAUUCUGAUUAGAGAAAUUAAUGCAUAAGGGAGAGCCAAACCAUAUAAUAUUUGUGCAGACCAAUAUACAAUCUUCUGAUUAGAGAAAUUUUCUAGACAUCCAAUCAAUUAUAAAGGAUAUAUUAUUUCGUGUAUUAAUCCUAACAAUAUUCCUAACAAAAAAUCCUAACAAUAUUCUAUGGAACUUGAAAACAAGCCAAAGCUAUACUAGAAGCCAAGUAGGUCCUUCAUCAUUGACUGUGGGUGUGACCUUAUAUUGAAAAAGUCACACAUGUUUUUUUAUCUUUUUAUUACCAGCCAUGACUAAUUUCCUAAUAGGGUUAAUUGAAACCGAGAGCAGGUACAUGAUUCAGAUUCUUUAUUGAUUGAUUGCUUUUUUAUUUUUGACCCAUGUUGCUCUAUGAUUUGAGUGAGUUUGUGGCUGUUAGGUGAAUGGAAUUGAGAAUGGAGAUUUCAUGUGGAUAGAAUUUGGGAUCAUGGAAUGUGGUCCAUUGUUAAUGUCUGUACUAAGAGUUAUUGAUUGUGUUGUUUAAAUUUUUUGAGUGGUUAAUGUGGAUAGACAGUAGUACAUCUUUAACUCAUUUUUUCAUAUUGCGACGAGUGACAUCAACUUCAUAUUAUGACAGUAGUACAUCUUCUUAAGAGUUAUGACAGUAAUUACAAAAUCGGCUUGUAAGGUGAGGAUUGUCUCCUCUUUAUACACUCUUCUCAAGAGUCUUAUCUAUCCGACGUGGGACUUACGUUUUACCGAAUACACCCCCCUCAUGACCAAUCUUUUUAGGCUUGAUUCGUGAACAUAAAUGGUGGGUGGCCCGAUAGCAGAAACCUAAUAGCAGGUGGCCCAAUGGAGCUUGGAGAGGCUCUGAUAUCAUCUUAGAAAUCAUGGUUGAGCCUAACAAAACUCCAAAAAACGGGCUUGUUAGGUGAGGAUUGCAUCCUCUUUAUAUACUCUUCUCAAUAGUCUCUGAUGUGGGAGUUGAGUUUUUCCCAAUAAAAUAAUUUGUGUUUGAAUACAUUUAUGUAAAAGUGGAUUGAACUGUAAAUUCUUGUUUAAAAAUCAAUUCUUGAAUCAAAAGUUGAAAAUCCUUCAAACCAAAUCAAUUCUACUCGACAUCAACCAAAAAUGUUACUAAAAUAAAACAACUAGUUCAAAUGAGAAGUUUCAACUCAUUAAAUGGUAUCGAUCUUGUGUUUUCACCGCCGCUUCUGAUUUUUUUAAAUACACUUUGUCCUCUAGGAAUUGACUAAGUUAUAAAAAAAAAAAAGGCUUAAAUAUGUAAAAGGUCCCUGUAAGUUCGCGCAUUUUUGGUUUUCGUCCCUGUAAGUUUUUUUUUUCUAAAAUAAACCCUGUAUCUUCUUAACCUUUUGAAAAUGGUCCUUGCCGUUAGCUUCUGUCAACAAAAACGCCACUGUGGCUAACGGAGCACAGGUGGCAAGUUAUGAGUUGGCACAUUUGAUGAGAUGGCAUGAGAGAUGAUUAGUUGUGUAAAGACAGGGACUAAAAUCAAAAACGUAAAUUACCACAGGGACUAAAAUCAAAAACGUAAAAUCAAAAUUUCAUAUUUAAAAUCAAGAUCUUAUUCUUCUUCUUCCCUCAUUGUCUUCUUCAUCUUCAUCACCAUAUUCAUAAAUCAUCAACACCAAACCCAGGAAAAGAAAAAACAAACAUAUUUUUUUUAAACAAAACUAAUAAUCAUCAAUCAACAACAACAAGACCCACUAUUCAUCAACACAUUAAAACAACACAAACUCUUUUCAUCAAUUUCUAAUGGAAGCCAUUUGAGUUAGUUUUCUAUUCUUCACUAGAGCAGCUAAUCCUCUGCUUAAAACUUCUUCAGCCAAACAGAAGAGGAGGGGUGAGAGGGGAUCCCCCUGCCUCACUCCUUUAGUGCAGUUAAAGAAACCAACAGAUUUUCCAUUAACAUUGAUUGAAAUUUUAGCAGAAUGAAGAAUGUUUAGAAUCCAAUCACAGAAAAGCUGAUUGAAUCCAAAACAAUGAAGAACAUGUAUGAGGAAUUUCCAAUUAAUAGUAUCAAAAGCCUUUCUCACAACAAUUUCCAAGGCUAAGUUUCCCCCAUAAGACUUCUUGUGAAGAGAAUUAAUAGCUUCUGAAGUAGUUAAGAUGCAGUCUUGAAUAUUUCUACCUGGAAUGAAUCCCCUUUGAUUUAUAGAAGUGAUUUUGGAAGCAAUAAUUCCCAAUAUAUCAACCAAAAUUUUGGUAAUGAUUUUGAAUUGACAUUACAAUCAAAACAUACGAUUGAGUAAUGGAAUUAGAAUAAAUUGUUGAAGGAUAAGAGUUUUGGUUCAAGGGUGCAAGGUAUGGGAUAGAUUGGAGAUAGUUUGAGAGGAAGAAGACUGAAAUUUGAGAGGAAGAAGAAGAUUAACCGUUUUUUUAAUUUCAUCCCUGUGUCAAUUUACGUUUUUGAUUUUAGUCCCUGUAUUUUAACAACUUAUCAUCUCUCAUGCCAUCUCAUCAAAUGUGCCAACUGCCACGUGUGUUCCGUUAGCCACCAUGGCGUUUUUGUUGACAGAAGCUGACGGCAAGGACUAUUUUCAAAAGGUUGAGAAGAUACAGGGUUCAUUUUAGAAAAAAAAAACUUGCAGGGACGAAAACCAAAAAUGCGCGAACUUACAGGGACCUUUUACAUAUUUAAGCCAAAAAGAAAUUCCAAAAUUAUCACUUCCCAUUUUCCAUUUUUUAAGGUCAAAUCAAUAAAGUUUUUGGAUAAAAAAAAAAAAAAAAAGUUUUCUAGAGUUGGGAUAGACCUCAAGGCUUAAGAGAUUGCCACACUGAUAAUGGUUGUUGAACUUACGUCCUUUUAUGGUACGGGUUCAACUCCUAACCAAUGUUCUUUGGCAUAAUAAUUUUUCCAAUAGUACAAGACAUUUUUUGGUGUAAUUUUGUGGUACUUGUCAUGAGAAAAAGAAAGUUAUUUUCAGGUGCAUUUUUAAAACUAGAUUCGAGCCUAAGACCUUUAUUAGGUCAUUAACAUUGAUGGAUUUUCCAUCCUUAUGGACUGUUUGUUUGGUUCAAACUCGAUUAUAGAUACAAUCAAUGACUAUUAGGUCAUUAACAUUGCAAAUCUAAGGACAAGGGUAUUUCAAUAUCUUUGUUGGAAGAACUUUGGCACUCAUUGCAAUUCUACUCAGUCCGAGGGAUUAAUCUCUGCACUUAUAUGCAAGGAAACCCAAUUCAAAAGAAAAUUAAUCCCUUUAUUUAGACUCUUAGACAAUGUCCAUAAAACAUAACUUAGUAUAACAUUUCAAAAGAAAGACUCUUAAUUAGACAAUGUUCUUAAAACACAACUUAGUAUAACAUUUUAUUGUUACAUAUAGUAAAUAAUAUCAGAAAAUUAAAGUAUCCACAAGGGUAUUAUUUUUUUGAAGAAGCCGAAUGGUAUAAGUUAUUUAAACCAACAAUUCAAUCGUAACGAACACAGGGUAUGCAAGAAGUGUAUCCAACGAAUAUUGUACACAACUAAAUUCUUACCACUACUACACGAAAGAUUCUCCAAAUAAAAUUGUACACGAAAAAUAUUUCAAAAAACUAUUUGUUCUCAAUAAUGAUUGCUUUAUAUAAUGCUGAAACUUACCACUUCUCUUCUCUUGUACUCACUUUGAACCUCAAUAACAACUUGUUCACUAAAUUCCCUUUGAGAAUUGUUCUUCCAAACAAUGAGUGCUUCUCAUAGUGAAUAAUUUGUUGUUUUUUUUUUGUCAUCCUUUGUAUUAGUUUUAAAAAUAUAUUGGCUCUUUAAUUUGAUCCUCCCAAAGUUCUAAAUAUCACUAACAAAUCUUUUUUUCAAUACCAACAUCACCAUAUCAAGAAAACCUUCUCAUAUACUAACAAAAACAGAGUGGCUAAAUACUAAGAAAAAAAAAAAGUAAUACCUUGCAUCAAUCUGAAGAAUUUCAAUGUCAGCUUCAACAACUCCCCUUACCUUGAUUCAUCUUCCUACGCGGGCAACCAAUACCUCUGCGGCCGCCCCUUAUCCAAACCCUGCACUGCCGAUACCGCCGUAGGUGAAAACGAAACUGAUAUUAUAUUCAUCAUUUGGAUAAGCGCGUUC